rnacentral:tRNA from 1 species
GAAUGGGAAGUCUUGAAUAGAUUCUACACUGUAAAUGUAGAGAAGGUAAAUACCCCUGUUCA